ensembl:lncRNA
GUUUGUCUCUCCUGGUGUGGUGUCUAGAGGAGUAGGGGUUUGUCUCUCCUGUUGUGGUGUCUGGAGGAGUAGGGGUUUGUCUCUCCUGGUGUGGUGUCUGGAGGAGUAGGGGUUUGUCUCUCCUGGUGUGGUGUCUGGAGGAGUUGGGGUUUGCCUCUCCUGGUGUGGUGUCUAGAGGAGUAGGGGUUUGUCUCUCCUGGUGUCUAGAGGAGUAGGGGUUUGUCUCUCCUGGUGUCUGGAGGAGUAGGGGAUUUGUCUCUCCUGGUGUGGUGUCUGGAGGUGUAGGGGGUUUGUCUCUCCUGGUGUGGUGUCUGAAGGAGCAGGGGGUUUGUCUUUCCUGUUGUGGUGUCUGGAAGAGUAGGGGUUUGUCUCUCCUGGUGUUGUGUCUGGAGGAGUCGGGGUUUGUCUCUCCUGGUGCGGUGUCUAGAGGAGUUGGGGUUUGUCUCUCCUGGUGUCUGGAGGAGUAGGGGGUUUGUCUCUCCUGGUGUGCUGUCUAGAGGAGUAGGGGUUUGUCUCUCCUGGUCUGGUGUCUGGAUGAGUAGGUGGUUUGUCUCUUAUGGUGUGGUGUCUGGAGGAAUAAGGGUUUGUCUCUCCUGGUGUGGUGUCUGGAGGAGUUGGGGUUUUGUCUCUCCUGGUGUGGUGUCUGGAGGUGUAGGGUUUUGUCUCUCCCGGUGUGGUGUCUGGAGGAGUAGGUGGUUUGUCUCUC